UACGAAGGGGGCUAGCGUUGCUCGGAAUCACUGGGCGUAAAGCGCACGUAGGCGGCUCUUUAAGUCAGGGGUGAAAUCCUGGAGCUCAACUCCAGAACUGCCCUUGAUACUGAGGAGCUUGAGUCCGGGAGAGGUGAGUGGAACUGCGAGUGUAGAGGUGAAAUUCGUAGAUAUUCGCAAGAACACCAGUGGCGAAGGCGGCUCACUGGCCCGGUACUGACGCUGAGGCACGAAAGCGUGGGAGCAAACAGG
rnacentral:rRNA from 1 species